AAGAGACAGCAGUCGCCGCGGUAAAACGGAGGGUGCAAGCGUUAUCCGGAUUUAUUGGGUUUAAAGGGUCCGUAGGCGGACUUAUAAGUCAGUGGUGAAAGCCUGUCGCUUAACGAUAGAACUGCCAUUGAUACUGUAAGUCUUGAGUAUAUUUGAGGUAGCUGGAAUAAGUAGUGUAGCGGUGAAAUGCAUAGAUAUUACUUAGAACACCAAUUGCGAAGGCAGGUUACCAAGAUAUAACUGACGCUGAGGGACGAAAGCGUGGGUAGCGAACAGGAUUAGAUACCCGCGUAGUCCCUGUCUCUUAUAC
rnacentral:rRNA from 1 species